UGCAGCCAUCGGAUCUACCACUUGCUCUGGAAGGAAGAGGAGGGCUCUGCCCAAGCUCGAGCAGAUCGAUGACAGCACUGCCGGUGACAACCUCCACGCCUCCCUGAACGCAGCCGCCGACGCCGAGGUCGCCAAGAACACCGCCCAGGAUGGUUCAGGCCGCCUUGUUUUGUGGAGGACUACCACAAUCACCCUGACUUACACGUCAUCCUCCACCGUGUCCGGCACCAAACUCUCCCUCUCGUACGCCUGCACAGCGUCGGGCAUGAACCUGCCACCCAGCUGUUAACCCGUUCUUUUUCCUAUUCUCCUCGAUGCCUUGUCGCUUGGCUUCGUAAAGAUGGCUUUUUUGUGUAACUAUUGCUCUCUAUGCUUUUUCAUUACCCUCCCAGGUAAUGAAAUGUUUUUCUCUUAUUUAUUGUUGUUCUUGUUAUGUAUUGUAUUGUUUAUACAGCUAUACUUGUAAAUAGAAGGACCUUUAUUAUGUACAGCAUGUAUCAUAAGAAAUAAAAAAUAUAUAUGUAUA